rnacentral:tRNA from 1 species
AAAGAGUCAUCCAAAAAAAGCUUCUAACUUUUUAUAAAAAGCAUUACCAUGUUUAU